GACGAACGCUGGCGGCGUGCUUAACACAUGCAAGUCGAGCGGCGCGGCGAACGGGUGAGUAACGCGUGAGUAACUGCCCCCCUCUCUGGGAUAACAGUUGGAAACGGCUGCUAAUACCGGAUAGUGGGGGAUGACUCGCGUCCUAUCAUCUUGUUGGGGGGGUAGUGGACUACCAAGGCGACGACGGGUAGCCGGCCUGAGAGGGCGAACGGCCACAUUGGGCGGAGAGACGGCCCAAACUCCUACGGGAGGCAGCAGUGGGGAAUAUUGCACAAUGGGGGAAACCCGGAUGCAGCAACGCCUCGUGCGGGAUGACGGCCUUCGGAUUGUAAACCGCUUUCAGCCAUGACGCGGUAGUGGCAGAAGAAGCACCGGCUAACUACGUGCCAGCAGCCGCGGUAAUUC
rnacentral:rRNA from 1 species